CUCCGCCAGGCCGGAAGGGAGCAACGUGGGGUUGCCCGCC
rnacentral:SRP_RNA from 12 species